GACCCAGUAGCACUUGGUGUGCAUCUGCUUUCAAUGCUGCUUUAUAGUCUCGGUUAUGCAGAAGCCCCUGGUUCAACUCCAGGCUGGGACC